UUGAUAUUGUAUCGCUGCUUUAUAAGAUGUCACCAUGGGAGGCAACUGAAGGGACAGAGGACACUUUGUAGUUUUUUGGGGUUUUUUUUGUAACUUCUUGUGAGUCUCAUUCUUAAAGCCAUGGUUGAUAAAAGAUUACAGAACAUCGGUUCUGCUCUAUGGAGUUUAGAAACCAGUUGGCACAGUGAGAUCGUCUUUCUUUUCUAUGUUUCUUCUUUCCUUCUUUCCUUCCUUCCUUUCUUCCUUAAGUUAAAAGUUAUCAUGAAUUAGCUUAUAGAUACGAAGCAUUGUAGGAAUCCUCCAGAAGGACACGUUGCUGCAGGCUAGAUGUCCAGGCUGGUUAUUGAAGAGGGAGGAGCUCCAGUUGGGACUUGAUGGAUGAGUCGGGCUAAAUAAACGAGGUGGAACAACACAAUGGAAUCAGGUCCAGAGAGAGGCAUAUGAAAGGCGCUUGUGGGCAGAUGAGUCCUGUGAAAGUUUUCACAAAUAGGAAGCACCCAGCCAAGGUGCUGAGUAAGCUGUUAGGUGUUUUAACAGAAGAGUGAUGUGUGAAUGUGAAACUGGUAACCAGAGGGUUAAUGGGACUAAUAAACACAACAGCAACCUUUUACCCAGACCUUUUCCACUUGCCUUUAUUAUUUUUAAAUGUUUAUUUGCUUUGAGUGAGAGCACGCUUACAGGGGAGGGACAGAGGGAGAGAGAGAAUCCCAAGCAGGCUCUGUGCUGUCACCACAGAGCCUGACAUGGGGCUCGAUCCCACGAACUGUAAGAUCAUGACCUGAGCCAAAAUCAAGAGUUGGAUGCUCACCCGACUGAGCCACCCAGGUGCCCCUCCUCUGGUCUUUAAAUAUCCCUGACUCUCUUCCUCUGGAUAGCUGGAUUUGAGGCUUGGGUUCUCGUCUCAGACUCAGGUGGCCUCUUGAAAAAACCCUUUCCUUGCUGCACAUUCACUGUCUCAGUGACUGAUUUUGCUGUGAGCCAACGGGAGCUCUCUGCCUGUGGUUCCUCAGCCCCCAGCCAGUUCUGGGAGUGUGGUGACCAGUCCAAGCGACUGCCUAGGCUCUUUGUCCUAGGGACUGUCCCCAGAGCCCAACCCCAACUGGGCACUGCCAGCCUUGGGGACCCAAUUUAACUUUUGCAGCGAGGAAAUGGUUUUCGGCUUCGGGUGGACACGCCUCUUGAUGAGUACUUGACAUGCAAGGGCAGGUGAGCGCAUUUCCUCUUCCCAUUGGGUGCCUCCAAACAGGGGGCUUUGGUGUGGAUCUCUGCGCCCCCUUGUCUGAAAGUUGACUAGGAAGCUGUUUGGGUCAGACAACGAAGCCUUGGCUUUGGGGCAGGAACCAGUGCUCCCAGAGGCACUCAGUGCUUCAUUUGGUUUGUUUGUUGCUGCAGCUUUUGGUAUCUUUGGACAAAACCAGCCGUAUUCUGAUCGGAAAAUGGAAAGUGAAUUUGAUCCCCAAAUGCAGCCCUUUGGUCUGUAUUCUCCAAAAUUGGGCAGUUCUUGCUUUGCAACACUGCUUUCCCACAGUAUUCAUUAGACUGGAGAAAAAUGACCGAUCAGUGGAUCCAUAAAUUAUGAUAUAUUUGGAAACUGGGCCUUUAAGAUUUUGUUUGCAUCUGUUUUUUAAUGUUUACUUAUUUAUUUUAAGGGGGUGGGAGGAGAGAGAGAGAAAGAGACAGACAGACAGACAGACAGACAGAAUAUCCCAAGCAGGCUCCAUGCUCAGCCCAGAGCUCAACCGUGAGAUCAUGACCUGAGCCAAAAUCAAGAGUCGGACACUCAACUGACUGAGCCACCCAGGCGGCCCAGAUUUUGUUUGCCUCCUGCUUGUGUAUCUGUAUGUGUGUCCAUGUGUGUUGUAAAUGUGAGAUUUUUUUCUCUACCUGUGGAUGGUGCUACUAAAAUUAAUUUGACAAAGAGGUCAAUGUAGUUGGUUUAAAGGCAAGUGCUUGUAAGAAUUAGGCAUUCCAAAACUGAGAAAAACACUUUUAAGUUCAUGUGAGUUGGGAAAAUAUUCAAUAUUAAAGCUAAUUCAGGGUUGUUGGUUUAAUUAAAAUGGAUGUGUUUUUAAAGUUUCCAGUAGUAGACGUAGGAGGUACAACUGUUGUUUGUUCUGCCUGUGUUUACUGCAAGUCAAUAGGUUCAUGUUAUAAAGUGUUUUGGUAAUCUAAACAAUCACUGAGAACUAACAUGGGUUUCUUUUUGGCUUCUGUUAAGGGAAACAACUCUGUAUGCAAGGGAAUUGAGACUGGUUAUUUAAAGAAGGAAAACUUAGGACAAAACCUGAUUUUAAGAAGUUGUAGAAGAUUUGUGAGAAGGAAAUCUUUGGAAAGGAAUUUUGUGCACGGUCGGGACUAAGAUUACGGAGAUGAGUGCAUAAAGAAGUUUUUUAGGGAGUGGUCGACACCUGGGGAAGAGAAGGCUGGUUGAGAGAACAGGAUCAGGCAGAGGUUGAGCAGUGACACAACCUCAACAGAAGCCUCAGCUGACUCUCUGAGGAGUUUCCAAAAGUUGGGUUCCUCUUUAGAACCAGCCUAAACUGGGGCAGAGGGCUGGACUUUCAUACACUUGUACUGAAUGGCCAUUAGAUGAGACCGCCUGGGAAGAGGGCAUGGCCUGGACAAGGCAGGUGUCUUCAGUCAAUGCCCUCGCUCGUGAGCCCUGAGAGCUAAGAACCAUUAGCAGCAUGCCCACCAGCUGAGGGUCCUUCAUUCCUGAUGGGGGUUCUGGUCAGCACAUCCCAGCACAAGGACUCAGCUCCAUGCAGCACCCCGGAUGGCCCCGUCUCAAUGGGUUUCAGCUUAAGGAGAUUCAUGGGAAGGACUUUUGACAAAUACGGGUCUCUCAUACCAGUAAGAUGAUAAAGCCAAACUGAGUAAGAACUUCUGGAACUAACAGGAAAACCAUUCAAACAGAGCAAGAAUUAGUAACAUGGGACUGAAUGAAUUGAGGAAGAUAAUUACUCUUGAUUGAAACGCUGCUGGUUCUCUAAUGUUUGCUCGUCCAGAUUUAAGGAAAGUGUUUUUCUCUUAAGCUAUUAUGACUUGCAGAAAUUUGGUAGAAUAAUCCCUUUGUAAACAAACAUGAUACAUUUAUCUUUUUCUCCCCACCUGAUCCCUCCAGAUUCAGAAACUCUCAGUGAGUAUUCUUAUAUUUUCAUGGCAAUGUAUGUAUUUGUAUACGUUCAGUAAGAAUCUGUUCUUAGGACAGGACACAUUUGGAAACAUUGGUUAUAUUAUCAGGGCUUUGGACUAUCAUAUUUGAGGGAGACGUGCAUUGACUCAGAUAUGAGCAGACAGCUUUAAGGAACUAAGGCUGACGUUUUGGAGCCAAUGAAGUGCCUUGGAAAAAUCAGCUUUGUACUUACUUACAGAGUUCCCAGCAGGUCAUUUUCUGGCAGGUGCAGGAACCUCAGGAUAUUUUAGGGACCUCAAGAAGAGAGGAACUUACCCGAAUCUAUAGGUAUUGCAGACAGAGUCUGAUGGCAAGUACUUGGCUUGGCUUCUUAGCCCUGAGAGGCUAUUAAAAGUUCAGUCUGAAAUUCUUUGAGAAGUUCCAGCAAAGCAGAUUUAAAAAAAAAAAAAAAGGCAAA